UGCUAACUAGCGUUAGCACAAUUACUAGACGUCUAACAGCUAGUGUGCCAUAGAAUGCCAGUCAUUGUGCUAAUGCUAAUGCAUUUGCUCGUGAAACUACUAACUUCCUUCAUACUGGAUGCAGGGAUUGAGGGAUUGAUCUAUCUUGUUAUCUUCUCAUUCUGUUCUGAUGUCCCUCUCUUUCCUGAACAGGACAGAGCCCCAAGAGUGUGCACAUACUCAGGCAGCAGCAGUGACACUGAGACAGAGUCUGAUGGGAACACGCUAGGCUCCACCCAAAGCACCCUUACCAACAGAGCAAAGACGAGCAACCAAGUCUACUACGAAGAGAAGACGAUGAAGAGGAACAGUGUGGGAAAGUUCCCGUCAAUCAUGGACUACUAUCAACAUGAUAUGUUCUCUCACAUAGAGAAGGACGAACACAGGGGCAGUUUCUCCCAAUACCACUUGUUGCACAACCAGUCAUCGCUAGAGGGCAAAGCAGGAGACAGACUAAGCAAAGGGAAUCGAGUGGACAUGACGACAGGCGGCUGCGGAGGGGGGGUCCAGGUCGGCUCCAGAGACGUGUCCUUGGAUUCCCUGAACAAGCUGAACAGCAGUGGGCUGGGGCUGUACCCGGAGACAGAGCUACGGCCCAGUAGCGGUGACUGCUCCUGUUCCGCAGGGGAGAGAGAAGAGGACUGCUGCAGCAGGGUUGACAACGAGCCCUCGUCGUCCAGCUACUACUCCAACAAGCCCGGGGCGGAGCGCGUGGGUUCUCUCAGCGAUUCGCUUUACGACAGCUUCUCCUCAUGCACCAGUCAAGGCUCCAACGAUGUGUAGAGUAAGAAAGUGGAGGCCGGGGCCGAUUCUGUUGGAGUCUUCUGUUGGAGUCCUCUGCUACUCCCACCAACCGAAGCACUUAGGUCAUAAGGAAGGAAGGGAUGUCAUCGGUGAUGUCAUAAGAUAAGGGCGUGAACCCAGACUGUACGGUAUGCAUGACCUCUGAGAUGGACAAUUAAACUAUAGGCUACAACAGUACCACCGUUCAAGGUGUGGAAAGCAAUAUUAGAAAUUGUCUUGCAUUAUAUAUUUUACCCCGAAGGGGGAAUGUUUUUUUAUUAUCAUUGCACUGUAAAAAUGCUGUACAAAGUUAAGGAAUUCAACUUGAAGACAUAACUAGAGUAAAUACCACCAAAUCCAAAUCAAACCAAUCAGCAAUAUCAUCAGGAGCAACUGAUGAUGCCUAGAAGUGUGAAGCAAUACCUUAAGAAUGAUAAUAUGUGCAAAAAACUAUUACGGUUGUUGGAUGUGGAUAGAUGGUUUUCUCACGGAUCAUUAUUUCUCAAAAUAUUUCUCAAAUGUUUUACUGCCACAGUGUUGUAUGCCACAAUGGCAGGCCUACACACCACAACUACCAUCAUGCAAUACACUGCAACCCAUACCACACGAUCAUAGCUCCUAAAGCCAUUGUGUCAAACGUGUACGAUUACUAGACUGCUGUGGUAUUUUGAAAGUUGCAUGGCGAACUAAAAUGUGACACACAUUAGACACAUUAUUUUUGAAGUGGCGGGAUUUAUACUUUAUAUUAAGUGACCUAAAUACACGCAUUUGCACAUUUAAUUGAACCACCAGUACUGUGGAAUCUUAAAGAAUAGUAUCCUGCAUAUUGAAUGUACUGGAGUCAAUAUUGACUUUGAGUUGUGGUACAGAUGAGAAAUACAUGAUCAAUACAUGAUCAAUCAUUUCUACCAGCAAGACAAAACUGUCAAGCUGAUCUUCAACUGCUAUGUAGUGGCUUAAAGGGAUACUUCGGGAUAUUUGGCAAUGAAGCCCUUUAUCUUCUUCCCUAGUCAGAUGAACUCAUGGAUGCCAUUAUCAUGUCUCUGCAUCCAGUAUGAAGGAAGUUAGAGUUAGUUGUGUGAGCUAAUGCUAACUAGUGUUGGCGCAAUGACUGGAAGCAUAUCUACUAGCAUGCUAGCAGUUACCAUAGACUUCCAGUCAUUAUGCUAACACUAUUUAGCAAUGUCCUUCAAACUGCCCGUAAAGACAUAAAAAUGGUAUCCACUAAUUCAUUUGACUCUGGGGAAGAAGAAAAGAAUCCUGAAUUAACCCUUUAAGCAAUCACCGGGCCAUUACCAUUGUACUUGGGUCACUCAGUAUUUCAUGUAAACAUAGAACUGAACUAGUGUCAGAAUGGUACUUAUGAAUCAGAAACUUCUGUUGGCUUCAAUAACACAUUUGCGGAGCAAGGUCUAUGCUAGUAGCUCAGGGAAAAUGCAACGCGUAUACCUAGUUACCUUGAAUAUAAGGUUACAACUCAUGGAAAAUACAUUUUUCAUUUUUUUAAACGGAAAACAGACACUUUUUGAAAAGUAAAACCUUCAUGAACUGCAAGAUAACAUAACUGUUGAAACUGUGUCUCUUGUAGCAUCAUAAAACACUCGUUUUUUGUAUAUUUUGUUUGUGUGUUAAAAACUGCAAUUCAAUUAAUAUCAGAAUGGAGCAUUGCUGACUGGUAUAUGCAAUUUAAAACAUUUAAUAAUUGUGUAAUGUUUGCCAAUCAUUCAAACUAUAUGUCUAUUGAUUAAGAACAGUUCAACUUUUCUUGAUCGUUUCCUCGUUUUGUGACUUCCUGUAGUGUUUGUCGAUACAAAAUGUUUUAUUUUGUCGAAUAAAAGCUACUACUGCAACCUUUUAUCACUUUAUCCUAUAACACAUUUGACACGUAGUAGGAAUAAAUCAUCAUGCCAAACGUGCGUAAUUUGAUUCUGGUGCUAAUCAAAAGACAGACUGUACGUUUCAUUGUUUGAACAAUUUUCCAUGAAACUGUUAAUAAUAUGUAAGGAGAGUCUUGCUAAGACCAUAAUGUGUAUUUUUCUAGCUGACGAGUAUUUAUAUCCCACUUUUUGUACAUGGAACUGUAUAGUAGUGUUUAAUUGUCCUACUUCACAUCUUCUCUGCUUGAUUGUUCCUUUGUAAGAGAACCUGUUACCAGCAGUGUUAGUUUGGUAAUUACGUGUGCAAUUUUGGCUGUUACAUUAGACUUUUAAUGCUAUAUUUUAUGUAAUAAUUUCCCAGACAAAUAAAAAUAAAUGAUUUCCUAUUUUAAAUUUGAUGCAGCUUUCG
ensembl:lncRNA